AUGCUGUUUGUUACGGCAGCCGAGCGGACUAAGACGGAAGGACAGCACCAAAUCUGCGGGCGGGCAACCGUUUCCAAGAUGCCUUCGGAAGGGAACGGCGCCAGGUGCAGAGCAGCGCGAAAGCUGCGCGAAAAGAUGUACUUACAUUUCGCCCCCUUCAUCCGCAGAGCAGUUCUGGAAGAUUCCCUGAAUUCCCACGGUGACGGACUCCAAGCAGGGGAACUGGUGCUUUUCGAAUUUUGUAGGAUGUGGACAAGUGCACGCGUCUCCUACCGUCACACCAUCAAACAACCGAGCAGGGGGCGGGCGUCAGGUUCCUUCGAAGAUUCAAGAGCCUGGGGGCGGGGCGCCAGGCCGGGUGGGGAACCUGGUCCAGUCCCGGGAGAGGCCUGGGACCGUGCCCCCCGGCUCGGGUGUGUUUGUGUUCCAGGAAAUAGGCUGGUUUCCCGUGCGUGUGGCCCGCGGGGACUCAGACCCCCAGGCCGGGUCGGGGGCCCCCAAAUCCCCCCGGGUCUCGGCGGCCGCCUGCAGUUCCGCGGUGUCCCGGCAGGUGGCGCGCGGCAGCCCGCGCCCGGAGCCCCCCGCCCCUCCCCGGCCGCCCCACCGCGCGGGGGUCAGGAAUGCGCCUGGGGACAGCCAGGGGCCGCGGCCAGCGCGCCUGGAGCCUUUUAUGGGCAUAAACGGAGCCCUGGUAUCGCCCCCGGCCGAAAAUGCAGACCCCCGAGGGAGGGGGCGUUGCCAGACCCCUCCGGAGCAGCCAGGCGACAGGCCUGGGAGUCUGGCUCGGACACUGGGAGGAGGCACAAUGUGGGUGGGAAACCGACCUCGCAAGGUUGCACUGAGGGGAGGACAAAGGUGUGUUCUGGGCCUGUCACGGCGGGGGGACCAGUCAGGCAGGAAGGCUGUCAUUGUUGUGAUUUUAUUCUAUUUUUACUUUUUACGAGGGGUCUGACACCACACUCAGAGAGGAACUGGCUGAGUCUCCCAGAGUCAAAUUUUAGGGGGCCCUGUCUUUGGCGGUCCUCUCUUCUAAACUGGAGAGCUGACCUUGACUCCACUCUUUUUGUCAUUUCCACACUCAAUUCCUCAGGAAUUAUGUCGCGCUACCUCCAAAAUCGAUCCAGAAGCCCCACCAUCUGA
rnacentral:lncRNA from 1 species